rnacentral:lncRNA from 1 species
ACGAAUGUCAAUCUACUUAGUGAAUUAGGUUUCUUCAAGUGAAGGAAUUCAUUUCGAUCAACCCGUUUUUCUAUUCUGCCCAGCACAAAGACUUUCUUCACCUCAAGGUUUCCAUUGUGCUCAGGGCUUCACUAGAUCACUUUGUGCUUCAUGCUCUUUAAAUAUGCUCCUUUUUGGAUUAAUUUUGCUUAGCACUGCUUCUAGGCUUUUAGUGCAUGAAGGUUGCUCUUUUUGGGCCUUCUCUACUUUGAAUAUGCUCAAUGUUUGAUGUGAGUGUUUAGUGGAUCAUUUGUUUUUGGGUCACUUUUGUUCAACUGUCAUUUUUCUUCUAAUUCCUGCAAAAUAGCCAAAAUUCUCAUAAGAUUAAGCAAUUUUGAUCACACUACAUUUCUAAGUGGGAAGAUUUCUAUUUUUUAUAUUUUUCAAUCACACUAUUUUAUAUUCUAAAUUAGUCUCUAUUAAUCUUUUAGAGACUAAUUUAGAAUCAAAAAUAUUAGAAGAUAAAAACUU